AUAAAAUAUGAAACGUGGAGGGCGAGUACGGUGAUCUUCUUUUUUUCUUUCCAUUAAUAAUGCGACCUACGAAUGACAAAAUGGUCACGUAGUCCAAUAGAAAACACUUAUUUACGUUUUUAUUUUGUGACUAUCAUUGAGUCUCGAGAACAUACAAGCGGCUAACUGUUUUUCGUCGUUGCCGCUGCGUCUCUUUCGCCGGAUACAACGAGUUUUGUACUAGAGGUUUGUUGCUUGGAGAAUAAAUAAUCAAAUGUUGCUUCUUGCUCAUCUGCACCCAAAGGAAUUCAAUGCAAUUCAAAUUCAGAAGUCUCUUGGAGUAUGUAGCCCCACGGCUACAUCCACAUUGCCCUCACAUCGGUAACAUUUGUUAUGUUAUUUACUUUUUUGGUUGCAAUGGUGAUUAUGGAUCAUGAUAAUGAUGUUGUAUCUUGAGGGAGUGUGAUUUAUCAUGCCAAUCUUGUCAUUGGCUUAAUUUUACAUUCUGCAAUAGUAGUUGAUUUGCUUUUGACAAAUCUUUGAUGUGGCUUUAUGUUCUUUUACAAUUUUCCUGAUUAAUCUGGCCAGAGCAAUAACGUUUAUCAAUCUAAGAUAAAAAUAAAGACAUACUAUUGAUUCAAGAAAAUAAAAAUAUCCAUAAGCAUGUAAAUCUCCUUUGUAGGAGAUAAACAUAAAUCUUGUUGUGAGCAUGUUUUGAGCCUUAAAUGUUCCUUAAUUUAGAUUUAGACAAAGGCACUAUCACCUUGCCUUAAAAAAUUUCUAUCAUAAAAUAAAUAAAUAACAUUUCUCAAUCGAAUGUAAAAUUAAAGAAAUUACGAACAAAUAGAAGUAUUCUUUUCCAUUCCAAUCGAAUCUUCAAUUAUCAUAUUUUUCCUACUUUGAGUUUGUCAUCGGCACCAAUCAUUUACUAUUUCCAAAUGUUAAUUUGCUUUUAUAAUCGAUUUUAUUUCCUUUUCUUUCUUUAUCUUCCAUGCCCAUUGGUUAAAGGUAAAAUACAUAGAAGAACCAUGAGAGAUCACGCUCAAGAGAAGGACAAUGACAAGGCGGAGAAAUCAACAUUAACGAUGCCAAUGUCAUCCUUUCCAAGCUUGAUAGGAAAUAUUCUCUUAAUGAGAACCUAAACUGUUUAUUUACGAUUUAGCGAGAGUUUGAUUUUUUAUUUUAAUUUACCUAUCACAAUUUAUUUGUUAAAUUUCUCUCAAAUUAUUAUUAUUAUUAUUGAUAACUUUUUGUAGUAGGAAACUCCCAAAAUCAACCAUACUCACCCCAAAGAAGAUUUGAGUAUAUCAUUCUUUUGGGGUGAAUAUUGAUGAUUUUGAGAGCUUCCUUCUGCAACAAGUUUUAAAUUGAACUUUGGCUAAGUUCAGUUCAUCUUAAAAUAAUGUUUCAGGUUCAUCGUUAAGAUAAAAUUUCUUUUCAGUCUUUUAAGGGUUCGAUAUUGGCAUCGUUAAUAUUGAUUUCUCAGCCUUGUCAUUGUUCUUCUCUGCAGCAUAAUCCUUCGUGGUUCGUCUUUAUAUAUUACGUUUAACCAAAAGUCUCUUUAAGAAUAUUUAUAAUUGAAGAUUCGGUUGGAUAUUGGAUAGAGUGGUUUUGUUUUGGCUUAGUUUCUUUAUUUUUUGUUCGAUCGAGAAAUGUUACGUAUUUAUUUUAUUUUUUUAUAGAAAUUUUCUAGGGUCAGGUCAUAGUGCCUUAGUCUAAUUUAAGGAACGCUUUAGGCUUAAAGCACACUCACAAAUUAUAUUUACCCUUUCCAAAGUAGAUUAACAUGGCUUGAACUCGCUCUCAAAAAAAAAAAACAUGGCUUGAACUCAAAACGUACAGAUCUAAGACCCACCCUUUAUUAUUUUUGAAUCAAUAGUUUGUCUUUUUUUACCUAUUAUUGAUAAAUGUUUUUGAUCUCGCCAGAUCAAUCUAGAAGUAUUUUAAUUGGCGUUACAACUAUUUUUUGGAUUAAUUCUGCACAACUUCCAACAUCUACAAUAUGCUACUCCUCCAAUAUUGGAUAGACUGAAAGAAGUUUCUUGAAAUCUCCUCAUCAUGAAAUAAACUACUUUCAUUGGAGGGUUUUGAGCAAAAGGAAAAUCAACAUAACUAUCGUGCAGAUUGGUUCAUCUAUUGUUACUCUCAUUCAAUUAUUUUUUUCUUCGUUUUAAUGAACCUUAUGAUAUGUUUUCUUUUCCAUUAAUUUGGUUCUUUUAAUAUUUUUAUCUCGUUCAUCAUUCAUCCCUUUUUUUCUAAACUCCCUGAUACUGACUCCGAGGUGUGUCAAACAUAUUUGAACAUUGUAUCUUCCUAUGAGUUGUUCUCCAUAAGCUAUGUACAGGGUGACACAAAGUUCUUAAAGAAUAUUGCAUGCUUUGUAGCUUGCAAACAAAUUCAUAAGAUUUGAGAUUUGAGAGAUAAUCUUGUUCCUUCUGUAGUCGUUGAAGCAGCAGACGCGGAGGAAUUUGGUAUGCCUUUCGUUCUUUUUUUAAUUUAUUAUUUGCCUUUCAUUUUUUCAAAUUACUUGAAUAUAAUUCUAUUUACCGUAUGUUACUUCUAUGAAUGACAUCGACAUCAAACUAUCUUACCGGGAAUGAACCAUAUGAUGAGCAACAACCAAUGUAUGUACCAUUUGAAUUGGUGAAUCGUGUAUCAAACAACAGGAACACAAUUUACUAUUACUAUUAAAUAGUAGAUUUUUCUUGAAACUAGAUACAAGCUUGAUCCAAAAAUUGGUACAUAACUUGGUUGCUCCUCAUCAUAUAUGGUUCAUUCCCUGUAAGAUUUCGUUUGAUAUCGAUGCCAUUCAUAAACGUAGUAUACGCUUAAAUAGAAUUUUACAUUCCAUUAAUUAAAAAAUUGAAAGGUAAUAAUAAUAAAAUGAAUAGAAGGCAUGAAGUUACCUAAUUCCUCCACGUCUGUUUCUUCAACGACGAUAGAAGGAACAAGAUUAUAUGUCAAAGCUCCAAUCUUAUGAAGUUGUUUGCAUGCUACAAAGUAUGCAAUAUUCUUUAAGAACUUUGUGUCACCCUGUACAUGAAUAGCCUGCAGAGGACAACUCUUAGGAAGAUACAAUGUUCCAGUUUGUUUGUCCCACCCCGGAGUGAGUUUAAAGUAACUGAGAGCUUAGGCAAAACGGGAUGAAUGAUGGAUGAGAUGGAAAAAUUAAAAGGACCAGAUUAACGCAAAAGAAAACAUAUUUUAAGGUUCAUUAAACGAAGAAAAAAAUGGAACGAGUGUAGCAGUUGAUGAACUAAGCCAUCUACUGGGAGUGGUGGUGAGCAAUAUAAGCAUAUCAAAGUAAUGUAGGAACUAAGAUUCCGAUCAGUGCAGUGACAGUGCUUGCACAUGAUCAAGUAGCUCGUGUUGCCAAGAUGUUGGUGAUGAGUUUGGAACUGCUUCAAACAUAAAAAGUAAGGGAUAUCGACAGUCUAAGCUUGGUGCAAUCGCUUCUGCUCAAAAGAGGCUUAAGCUUUAUAACAAGGUUCCUCCAAAUGGGCUUGUUUUGUAUACUGGCACAAUUGUGAUGGCAGGAGAAAAAGGUGACCGUUGAUUUGGAACCAUUUAGACCUAUCAAUGUGUCUCUCUAUCUUUGUGAUAAGUUUCUUGAGUGGUAAUACAAGAGAUGUGCCUCACAAGUAUAGUGUGGAUCUUCAAAAGAAACAUGGAAUAAAGAGGGCAGUCAGCCCUACGUUUUAUUUUUCUAAACAUGGAAAAAGUAUAGUGUGAAUAUUUGCAUGGAAAAAUGUCAUAACUAUAUGAGAAGACUGCUGAUUUCAAAACUGAGCUUAGUCAGUCAGAUAUGUUUAAAAGUCAGAUAUGUUUGGUUCCCCGUUUAGAGAUCCUGAAAGCUCUGAUGAUUGAGUUUCAGGUAAAGCCGUCUCUGUUGGAGUAGUUUGCAAAUGAAUACAGACGGUGAUGUGAGAACAUUUGAUGAUUUUUCUGAUGAUGUAUAGUUAUGAAUAUCCUUCUAAACAUAUCUAUCCAUGUACUUCCAAGUGCGAAUGAACAAGAUUAAAUAGGAUAAAAGUUUAAUUUUUUUCUUA